GGCCUUGCUCUUAUGUCAUCUGACUAAAGGUUUCAUAGACCAAAGAUAACCAUCCAACCUAUUGGAAUACUGAAACAAUUGCUGCUUGAUUUCCACACACCACAUAAAAUAUGUGGAUAUCCUAAAUUCUACAAAAAAGAUUUGUAAGCAGAUCAAGCAAUACUGGGACUCCCUCUUCUCCAGAAGACACAUCCUGGCCUCCAUGCAGAGGAAUGUGUGGAUGGACAUAUAUUUAAGGAAGACACUUAACCAGAAAAUACUACAUACCCUCUUAAAAGACUUCUAAGAUUGUUGUCAUGCCUACCACUGACAUUCAGAUGAUGUGCAUUCUUGAUUGUGAUUACAUGUUUGGAGCUGAUGAAGGAGUUUGAAGUCUCCAGAGCAGGAAGGAGAGUGGGGAGUAGAACUCAUCAUCUUUAGGUCACUCAUCAUCG
rnacentral:lncRNA from 1 species